GAUGAAGAACGCAGCGAAAUGCGAUAAGUAAUGUGAAUUGCAGAAUUCAGUGAACCAUCGAAUCUUUGAACGCACAUUGCGCCCGGCAGUAAUCUGCCGGGCAUGCCUGUCCGAGCGUCAUUUCUGCCCUCGAGCGCGUCCAGCCUUUCGGGGCUGCGACCGCCCGGCGUUGGUGCGCUACGGGGAGCCUUCUGGCUAUCCCCCGUAGGCCCCGAAAUGAAGUGGCGGUCCUGCCGCGGCGCCCCCUGCGUAGUAUUACAGCUCGCAUCGGGUCCCGGUGGAGGCCAGCCGUCAAACCUUACUUUCUAAGUUUGACCUCGGAUCAGGUAGGGUUACCCGCUGAACUUAAGCAUAUCAAUAAGCGGAGGA
rnacentral:misc_RNA from 1 species